rnacentral:rRNA from 1 species
ACCACGACUCUCGACAAUGGAUAUCUUGGCUCUCGUUUCGAUGAAGAACGUAGCGAAAUGCGAUACUUUGUGUGAAUUGUAGAAUCUCAUGAAUUAUCGAAUCUUUAAAUGAAAGUUGUACCUGAGAUCCUAGGUUGAGGGCACGCCUGGCUGGGUGCGGUGAUG